rnacentral:rRNA from 1 species
AACGAACGCUGGCGGCAUGCCUAACACAUGCAAGUCGAACGAGACCUUCGGGUCUAGUGGCGCACGGGUGCGUAACGCGUGGGAACCUGCCCUUAGGUUCGGAAUAACUCCCCGAAAGGGAUGCUAAUACCGGAUAAUGUCUUAGGACCAAAGAUUUAUCGCCUUUGGAUGGGCCCGCGUUGGAUUAGCUAGUUGGUAGGGUAAAAGCCUACCAAGGCGACGAUCCAUAGCUGGUCUGAGAGGAUGAUCAGCCACACUGGGACUGAGACACGGCCCAGACUCCUACGGGAGGCAGCAGUGGGGAAUAUUGGACAAUGGGCGAAAGCCUGAUCCAGCAAUGCCGCGUGAGUGAUGAAGGCCUUAGGGUUGUAAAGCUCUUUUACCCGGGAUGAUAAUGACAGUACCGGGAGAAUAAGCUCCGGCUAACUCCGUG